UACAGAGGGGGCAAGCGUUGUUCGGAAUUACUGGGCGUAAAGGGCGCGUAGGCGGCCUGCUAAGUCGAACGUGAAAUCCCCGGGCUCAACCCGGGAACUGCGUCCGAUACUGGCAGGCUUGAAUCCGGGAGAGGGAUGCGGAAUUCCAGGUGUAGCGGUGAAAUGCGUAGAUAUCAGGAAGAACACCCGUGGCGAAAGCGGCUCUCUGGAACGGUACUGACGCUGAGACGCGAAAGCGUGGGGAGCGAACAGG
rnacentral:rRNA from 1 species